AUUGUACUACAAUGACGUAGAUAGAUAAUAACCCGCGUAUUCGACGGAUUAACGGUUAAAGGACGGCCGAAGGAAUGACCGAUUGGAUUCUCAAUGCAAUUGAACAACGGGUAAUUUUAAUUUGGUUUUUUUCCUUUUUUUUUUUUAACCGAAAAUUAAUCCAAGUAUUCGACUAUAAUAUUUAUUUAAAUGACAAACGUAUUUUGAUUUAGAUGCUGUUCGAUCUGAAUGUACCAUGCAUCACAUUGCAUACUACCGUCUGAUAUUUCCGGUUUAUGAAACUGAUUUGAGCAAAUGUUUUUACUACAACCCGUGGCCCGUGCCUGUCAAUUGCGGC